AAGCGGAGCGGCCGGGUCCAUGCGUCUGCGGGCGGCGGGGGGAGACGCACAGCUGCGGGCCGCGACCACGGCACCGGCCCGGGGGUGUUGCGCGGGCGCCGCGCGACUUUGCCCUGGAGCGCGUUGGGGGCGGUUGGAGUCGGGCAUGGCCCGGGGCCAGGCGGCGGGGCUGCUGCUGCCUCCGUUGCUCCUGCUGCUGGAGACCGCAGCCCAGGUCUCCACGGACUACCAGUACUUCGGCCCGCGGGGCGAGGGCGACACCUGGGAGCAGCUGGGGCAGCAGCAUCAAAAGGGCUCUCUAUUCCUAGACGUGGAGGAAUCCAUCCUUGGCCCGUGGGGAAAGUGGCGCUGUCUCUGUUACCUGGGCAAGCAGGAGCGCAGCCGGGAGGUGCUGGGCACAGCGCCGGACCCGGUGUUCAUGGAGCACGAGAACCUGGUCCAGCCUCGGCGGGCGGGGCCCCAGAGGCCCCGGGGUGGAGCUUGCAGGACGACCCCGCCCACCCGGUUGCGCAGAGGCGGCCUUCGGCGGCAGCCCUUACGGACUACAGGUCCCAGGAGGCCGCGCGGCAGCAGCGUCGGCGUCGGCUGCGCAAACGACGAGGGCGCCGGGAGCGUCGGGGGCGUGUCCCGCCCGCUGAUUGGUUGGGAGCGGGCACCGCCGCGGGGCCCGCGGAAAACGCGUCCCGCGUCCUGCUCUUGCGGCCCUUGUUCCUGCAGCUGGUGGCGGCGGCGGAGGAGGCAUGGAUCUCAGCGAGCUGGAGAGAGACAAUACAGGCCGGUGUCGCCUGAGCUCGCCUGUGCCCGCGGUGUGCCGCAAGGAGCCUUGCGUCCUGGGCGUCGACGAAGCGGGCCGGGGCCCGGUGCUGGGACCCAUGGUCUACGCCAUCUGUUACUGCCCCCUGUCCCGCCUGGCAGAUCUGGAGGCCCUGAAGGUGGCAGACUCAAAGACCCUGUCGGAGAGCGAGCGGGACAGGCUCUUUGCGAAAAUGGAGGAGGACGGGGACUUUGUGGGCUGGGCACUGGACGUGCUGUCUCCGAACCUCAUCUCUACCAGCAUGCUUGGGCGGGUCAAAUACAACCUAAACUCCCUGUCCCAUGAUACAGCCACAGGGCUGAUACAGUAUGCGUUGGACCAGGGCGUGAAAAUCUCCCAGGUGUUUGUGGACACCGUGGGGAUGCCAGAAACAUACCAGGACCGGCUGCAGCAGCGCUUUCCUGGAAUCACGGUGACAGUCAAGGCCAAAGCAGACGCCCUCUACCCCGUGGUCAGUGCCGCCAGCAUCUGUGCCAAGGUGGCCCGAGACCAGGCCGUGAGGAACUGGCAGUUUCUGGAAACACUGCAGGACUUCGAUGCGGAUUAUGGCUCAGGCUACCCCAAUGAUCCCAAGACAAAAGCGUGGUUGAGGAAACACGUGGAACCUGUCUUCGGCUUCCCGCAGUUUGUCCGGUUCAGUUGGCGCACAGCCCAGGCCAUCCUGGAGAAGGAGGCAGAAAGUGUUACGUGGGAGGACUCCACAGCAGGGGAUCAGGAGGGCACUGGGAGGAUCACCUCCUACUUCCUCAGUGAAGGUCCCAGAACCCACCACCAUGCUCCCCACCGAUAUUUCCUGGAGCGUGGCCUGGAGCCAGCCACCACCCUCUAGGAGCCAGCCUGUACUCCCUCCACCUGCCCCCCUGCAGGUGAUUAAAGGUGUUUCAGGAGAACCAAAAAUAGAAGCUGUACUUGGGGGCAGAGGUGGGAUGGGAGCACGCUCUGCACCUGGACCCAGCUACUGCCUUUUGGAACCUAAACAGAGUGGGCAUUGGUUAAGUGA